AUUGAACGCUGGCGGCAGGCCUAACACAUGCAAGUCGAGCGAGCGGCGGACGGGUGAGUAAUGUAUGAGGAUCUGCGCGAUAUAGGGGGAUAACUACUGUAAACGGUGGCUAAUACCGCAUACUAUCGGAUGAACCCAUAGGGGAUUAGCUACGAGGUGGGGUAAAGGCUCACCAAGGCGACGAUCCCUAGCUGGUCUGAGAGGAUGAUCAGCCACACUGGGACUGAGACACGGCCCAGACUCCUACGGGAGGCAGCAGUGGGGAAUAUUGCACAAUGGGCGCAAGCCUGAUGCAGCCAUGCCGCGUGUAUGAAGAAGGCCUUCGGGUUGUAAAGCACUGUCAGCGGGGAGGCGUUACCCGCAGAAGAAGCAACGGCUAACUCCGUGCCAGCAGCCGCGGUAAUAC
rnacentral:rRNA from 1 species